AGAGUUUGAUCCUGGCUCAGGACGAACGCUGGCGGCGUGCUUAACACAUGCAAGUCGAACGAGGUCCAUCCGGUAGCAAUACCGGUGAAGACUUAGUGGCGAACGGGUGAGUAACACGUGAGCAACCUGCCCCGAAGACCGGGAUAACAGCGGGAAACCGCUGCUAAUACCGGAUGCCCCCACCGGGUCGCAUGGCCUGGUGAGGAAAUGGAUUCCGCUUCGGGAGGGGCUCGCGGCCUAUCAGCUUGUUGGUGGGGUAACGGCCCACCAAGGCUACGACGGGUAGCUGGUCUGAGAGGACGAUCAGCCACACUGGGACUGAGACACGGCCCAGACUCCUACGGGAGGCAGCAGUGGGGAAUAUUGCGCAAUGGGCGAAAGCCUGACGCAGCAACGCCGCGUGAGGGAUGAAGGCCUUCGGGUUGUAAACCUCUUUCGAGCAGGGACGAUAAUGACGGUACCCGCAGAAGAAGCUCCGGCCAACUACGUGCCAGCAGCCGCGGUAAUACGUAGGGAGCGAGCGUUGUCCGGAUUCAUUGGGCGUAAAGAGCUCGUAGGCGGCUUGGUAAGUCGGAUGUGAAACCCCCAGGCUCAACCUGGGAUCGCCAUCCGAUACUGCCAUGGCUAGAGUCCGGUAGGGGCCCACGGAACUCCUGGUGUAGCGGUGAAAUGCGCAGAUAUCAGGAAGAACACCGGUGGCGAAGGCGGUGGGCUGGGCCGGCACUGACGCUGAGGAGCGAAAGCGUGGGGAGCGAACAGGAUUAGAUACCCCCGUAGUCC
rnacentral:rRNA from 1 species